rnacentral:lncRNA from 1 species
CAGGGAGCCCCUCUUGCUGCAGCAGCCGAGAGGGAAACACGGGGGGCAGGGGCAUCGGUGCCUGGGGAGAGCUUUCCCACCUGCACACACACAGGGAGAGCUGUCUCACCUGCACACACAGGGAGAGCUGUCCCACCUGCACACCAGGGAGACCUGUCUCACCUGCACACACAGGGAGAGCUGUCUCACCUGAACACACACAGGGAGAGCUGUCUCACCUGCACACACACAGGGAGAGCUGUCUCACCUGAACACACACAGGGAGAGCUGUCUCACCUGCACACACACAGGGAGAGCUGUCUCACCUGCAUACCAGGGAGAGCUGUCUCACCUGCACACACACAGGGAGAGUGUUCUCACCUGCACACACAGGGAGAGCUGUCUCACCUGCACACACAGGGAGAGUUGUCUCACCUGCACACACAGGGAGAACUGUCUCACCUGCACACACACAGGGAGAGCUGUCUCACCUGCACACACACAGGGAGAGUUGUCUCACCUGCACACACAGGGAGAACUGUCUCACCUGCACACACACAGGGAGAGCUGUCUCACCUGCACACACACAGGGAGAGCUUUCCCACCUGCACACCAGGGAGAACUGUCUCACCUGCAUACACACAGGGAGAGCUGUCUCACCUGCACACACACAGGGAGAGCUGUCUCACCUGCACACACAGGGAGGGGAGAGCUGUCUCACCUGCACACACAGGGAGAGCUGUCUCACCUGCACACACACAGGGAGAGCUUUCCCACCUGCACACACACAGGGAGAGCUGUCUCACCUGCACACCAGGGAGAGCUUUCCCACCUGCACACACACAGGGAGAGCUGUCUCACCUGCACACACACAGGGAGAGCUGUCUCAGCUGCACACACACAGGGAGAGCUGUCUCACCUGCACACACAGGGAGAGCUGUCUCACCUGCACACACACAGGGAGAGCUGUCUCACCUGCACACACACAGGGAGAACUGUCUCACCUGCACACACAGGGAGAGCUGUCUCACCUGCACACACAGAGGGAGAGCUGUCUCACCUGCACACACACAGGGAGAGCUGUCUCACCUGCACACACACAGGGAGAGCUGUCUCACCUGCACACACAGGGAGAGCUGUCUCACCUGCACACACAGAGGGAGAGCUGUCUCACCUGCACACACACAGGGAGAGCUGUCUCACCUGCACACACACAGGGAGAGCUGUCUCACCUGCACACACACAGGGAGAGCUGUCUCACCUGCACACACACAGGGAGAACUGUCUCACCUGCACACACAGGGAGAGCUGUCUCACCUGCACACACACAGGGAGAGCUGUCUCACCUGCACACACAGGGAGAGCUGUCUCACCUGCACACACAGAGGGAGAGCUGUCUCACCUGCACACACACAGGGAGAGCUGUCUCACCUGCACACACACAGGGAGAGCUGUCUCACCUGCACACACACAGGGAGAGCUUUCCCACCUGCACACACACAGGGAGAGCUGUCUCACCUGCACACACACAGGGAGAGCUGUCUCACCUGCACACACACAGGGAGAGCUGUCUCACCUGCACACACAGGGAGAGCGUUCUCACCUGCACACCAGGAUUGCUUUGUCGCCUGUACACAAGUGAGAAUGCUGAAGGAUGAGUUGCAUGUUUCCUCUCCUCCCACUCCCCUCCUCUCUCUUUCUUCUCUUGGUGCCACCCAGACCCUUCUCAGUCCUUGCCAUGCAAAUGGAAAAGCUGAUAAGUCACACAGGGCAGCCAGAAGCAGAUAA